GACGAACGCUGGCGGCGUGCCUAAUACAUGCAAGUUGAGCGAUGAAGAUUGGUGCUUGCACCAAUUUGAAGAGCAGCGAACGGGUGAGUAACGCGUGGGGAAUCUGCCUUUGAGCGGGGGACAACAUUUGGAAACGAAUGCUAAUACCGCAUAACAACUUUAAACAUAAGUUUUAAGCUUGAAAGAUGCAAUUGCAUCACUCAAAGAUGAUCCCGCGUUGUAUUAGCUAGUUGGUGAGGUAAAGGCUCACCAAGGCGAUGAUACAUAGCCGACCUGAGAGGGUGAUCGGCCACAUUGGGACUGAGACACGGCCCAAACUCCUGCGGGAGGCAGCAGUAGGGAAUCUUCGGCAAUGGACGAAAGUCUGACCGAGCAACGCCGCGUGAGUGAAGAAGGUUUUCGGAUCGUAAAACUCUGUUGGUAGAGAAGAACGUUGGUGAGAGUGGAAAGCUCAUCAAGUGACGGUAACUACCCAGAAAGGGACGGCUAACUACGUG
rnacentral:rRNA from 1 species